GGCAAGAUGGCCGAGUGGUCUAAGGCGCUGUGUUCAGGCUCGCUUCGCGACACCUUGACAUAAUAUCGCAGUCUCCCUGAGGCGUGGGUUCGAAUCCCACUCUUGUCA